rnacentral:rRNA from 1 species
AUGGAACAAUGUAGGCAAGAGAAGUCGGCAAAACGGAUCCAUAACUUCGGGAAAAGGAUUGGCUCUGAGGACUGGGCUCGGGGGUCCCGGCCCCGAACCCGUCGGCUGUCGGCGGAUUGCUCGAGCUGCUCACGCGGCGAGAGCGGGUCGCCGCGUGCCGGCCGGGGGACGGACCGGGAAUCGCCCCUUCGGGGGCUUUCCUCGAGCAUGAAACAGUCGACUCAGAACUGGUACGGACAAGGGGAAUCCGACUGUUUAAUUAAAACAAAGCAUUGUGAUGGUCCUCGCGGAUGCUGA